GACGAACGCUGGCGGCAGGCCUAACACAUGCAAGUCGAACGAACCCUUCGGGGUUAGUGGCGGACGGGUGAGUAACACGUGGGAACGUGCCUUUAGGUUCGGAAUAACUCAGGGGAACUUGUGCUAAUACCGAAUGUGCCCUUCGGGGGAAAGAUUUAUCGCCUUUAGAGCGGCCCGCGUCUGAUUAGCUAGUUGGUGAGGUAAUGGCUCACCAAGGCUACGAUCAGUAGCUGGUCUGAGAGGAUGACCAGCCACAUUGGGACUGAGACACGGCCCAAACUCCUACGGGAGGCAGCAGUGGGGAAUCUUGCGCAAUGGGCGAAAGCUUGACGCAGCCAUGCCGCGUGGAUGAUGAAGGUCUUAGGAUUGUAAAAUCCUUUCACCGGUGAAGAUAAUGACUGUAGCCGGAGAAGAAGCCCCGGCUAACUUCGUGCCAGCCGCCGCCGUAACAC
rnacentral:rRNA from 1 species